rnacentral:rRNA from 1 species
AUCGGGAUUGAAGCUUGCUUCAAUUGCCGGCGACCGGCGCCGGGUCGUAACGCGUAUGUAACCUACUAUAACAGGGCAUAACCUGAGAAAUGGUACUAAUCCCCAUAAUAUUCGGAGAGGCAUCUCUCCGGGUUGAAAACUCCGGUGGUUAUAGAUGGACAUGCGUUGUAUUAGCUAGUUGGUGAGGUAACGGCUCACCAAGGCAACGAUACAUAGGGGGACUGAGAGGUUAACCCCCCACACUGGUACUGAGACACGGACCAGACUCCUACGGGAGGCAGCAGUGAGGAAUAUUGGUCAAUGGACGCAAGUCUGAACCAGCCAUGCCGCGUGCAGGAAGACGGCUCUAUGAGUUGUAAACUGCUUAUGUACGAGGGUAAACUCACCUACGUGUAGGUGACUGAAAGUAUCGUACGAAUAAGGAUCGGCUAACUCCGUGCCAGCAGCCGCGGUAAUACGGAGGAUUCAAGCGUUAUCCGGAUUCAUUGGGUUUAAAGGGUGCGUAGGCGGUUUGAUAAGUUAGAGGUGAAAUCCCGGGGCUUAACUCCGGA